UGUGCGACGCUCUAAAAUCUGCAAUCUUGGAGCGGACGCUCCAAACCGACAGGUCUAGCGCGCGCGCUUGAAGAGUUUUUUCUUUUUUGUAUCACACUCCAGGAAUGCGCACCAAGCGCGCGUUUCAGCGCGGCAUUCCAGAGCGACGCUCCAAAACCGACGUAUUGGAGCGGCUGUGAUAAAUACAAACGAACAGUUUUGGCGCGCAUGCCUAGAGUGUACGCUCCAAAACUGUGGGAAAAACUGUCCGCGUAAAUGCCGCUAUUUGCGUCAUUACCAAUUCAUUCUUCAGCGCGAAGACACGGUGAUAGAUACUCCGCUGUAUAAGAUUAAUAUAACGUCUUAUCGACUAAUUUUUACAACGCAUUGCGUAUGUGGUAAGACCAUUAUGGGGAAACGUGGUUGCAGCGGAAACGUAUCGGCCUCGAGCGCGUUGAUUUAACGGAAUUUUGCGGGGAUUUGAGUGCGAUGUUAAUCCCUAACGCAGAUAUUUCGAUGGUUUUCGUUAUUGAUUAUAUUCGUGCGAUGAUAUUAGUAUUAGUUUAGUGCAGUAUGGAGAUAUUUAACUGACAGGAGAGAAAGAGAGAUCGAGAGGGAAAGGGAGGAGGGAAAAUACGACAGCACUUGGAUUCUGUCCCUAAAAAGGGUGUGUAAAGUCGAUUUGAGUCUCAUUGUUGGCCCUUUCUCGUAAUGUUGUUUGAUUUCUACUGCAUGCUCGUUUUUACUUCGUCUCGGGAGCAGUUGUUGCGAGUGUCGACAGGUUACCGUUUUCUUAAUGCUUUUCCAAGAGAGCUCGUUUUGCUCGACUUUAUUUUAUUCUUUACUUUUGCCUUCGUCGAUAUCAAAUUAGAUGCAUCGGUUUUUAAUACGAGAAAAUCAAUAUACGUGCUUGUACGUAUAUCUACACACAGGUUGAACCAGUAACUAUUAUUAGCUGGAGUAGUUUUGAAAUAAUACAAGUUAAAAUUAGUGCAAAUAUAUUUCAGAUAAAAACUAUUACUGCUUCAUUCAGUUUGAUGCUUUUAAAUGUGUUAUUCGUCUUUUUAUUCCUUUCUCUCGCCUCUAUUUUCCUCUUCGCUUUAUUCAAUUCUGACCUUAUUUUCUCUAUCUUUGCUCCAUCUGUCGUAUCUUUUGAUUCCCUUUUACUUAUUCACUUUUACUCUCGAUAUUUUUAGCAUUUCCAAUUUAGCAUUAUAUCCUCAUUUUCUUUCUUUCUCAUCUCUUCUGCAUCUGAAUUUGCAAAACUAAUUGCCAAGGUAUUGCCACUAAUUACGAGAAAUUCUCUACACAAAUAGAAUAUUGCAAAUUGUUAAAUUAUAUUAUAUUAUUAAUACAUUACACGCUACGUUGCUCCGUGAUGUAAAUUCCGUUUUAAUAAACUUUCAAUACUAACAUUUAUAUAAUAUUGAUAAUAACAUCUGUUAUUAACGGUGUCUUUUAUUAUAACAAAUGUUUAUACUCUCGAUGAGAGAAGGUAGCCGCGUAUAUGUGGCUUUGAAGGACUCUCGGUGACUGGUGAGGGAGACACCGCGUCACGUACCAUUAUUGAUUCAUCCUUGAACGCGUAAAGACGUCGAAACUUUUAUGAUACAUUCCGUACAUAACCAUACACAAUUCGUUGCUUGUUACAAUACUUUGUAUAACAGUACGCACUGCAGCAUUAAAAUUGAAACAUAAAUCACUCCCGCGAAUUCCGCGAACUCGUAGCGGUAGCAGAACAUCGAUUUAAUCGGAUUUUACGAAAAUUCAGAUACGAUCGCGUGAAUUUAUUUCGUUUAAAUAAUUCUCUAUAUAAUUUUGACCGCGGAUAUUUGGAGAAUCUGUUGCCGUUGAGAUUAUAUUUGCAGAGUGUGUCUUGUUUAAAUCGCGGAUGCAAGAGAAUUACAGACGAAGAUACAGGAAUCAGAGACUCAAAUAUUGCGAGUAUAAUUAGAAGAAAAAAUGGCGAUAAAUUGACCGGCAAUCGGAUGAUACUGUGCACGUUGCGAAUAUCGUUUAAGGAGGUUCGGGUGCUUCAUCGGGGGGGAGUAGUAGGACUCUAUGCUGGAUUCUAUGCUGACUUGGCAACAGCGCAUUAGCGUUCACCGCAAAAUUCAAGCGUUAACCACAAAAAUGACAGAUAAACAAUAUAGAUGGAAAGGACAGUUUGUGAGUAAAAAAAAUAUGAGUGUAUGAAAAUUAGAACUGAAAAUGGUAAAAAGAGGAAAAAACUUGUUGAAGAAAAUAUUGAAGAACCUGUAUUUUUCAUAAAUAACUCGCGAAGGCUAUUAAAGCGAUGGCUAUUUAUCUUCA
rnacentral:lncRNA from 1 species